ensembl:lncRNA
CGAUACUGAGAUUAUUGAGGGUUUUUAGCAUAAGGGGCUGUUGAAUUUUGUCAAAGGUCUUCUCUGUGUCAAUUGAGAUAAUCAUGUGGUUUUUGUUUUUGGUUCUGUUUAUGUGGUGAAUUACGUUUAUAGACUUGUGUAUGUUGAACCAGCCUUUCAUCCCUGGGAUGAAUCCUACUUAUCAUGACGAAGAAGUUUUUUGAUGUGCUGUUGCAAUAGGCUUGCCAGGAUUGUGUUGAAGAUUUUUUUUAGAGUAAUUUAAGGAUUUUAUUCAAAGAUAAAUCAUUUACAUAUAAAGGGGCUGAUUCUUUUUUUAUUCACAUUUCUAUAGAUGCUACAAUAUGCAUAACCCAAAAGCAAUGAGGCAUGUUGAUGUUCCAGAGAGAGCUUUGGACUUGGAGUCAGAAGACCUGUGUGAAGUCCCAACUCUGCCACUUACCAGCCAUGCCAACAUGGAACGGUCAUGCAACAGUUCAUUUUAUAAGUGCAAAAUGGCACGUGCAUUCCUAGUGGAAGUCUUCGUGAAUAUAAGGAUGGCUGUGGCAAAGGUACAGAUGCGAGAAACUGCCAUAUAAAUGAAUGUUUAAAUAAGGAAGUCAGUGGAUGUUCUCAAGAUUGUCAGGACCUUCCAGUCAGUUAUAAGGUAGCAAUUCAUCAAAAGUAGCAAUUCAUAUAAUACAGUAGAAUUUGAGAUCAAGAAACUAGUUAAUUCAAUAUAGAUGAAAAACUUAAAAGCCAUCAUGUUAUAAAACUAAUUAUAUGGAGAGUGUUUAUAUAAAGAUAAUAUAAUAAUAGUGUGGAAUGAACAUUGUGAGAAUAUAGUUAAGAAGACAAAAAUAAAAUUACAGCACUUUUCAACAUAUUCAGAGCAGAAAAGACAUAAAUAAACCAGGGAAGACUAGUGUUCAGGGUCAGUAGUGCUAUGUCAAUAGCUAUAUGAAUAUGUAUUUAACUCUUAAAUUUCCAUUUCUGUCCUCAUUCUGUCUUCAGUACAUCUUUGAAGUGGAAUGGACUAAUCAUUUAUUUACUACAAUAGCGUAGAAUACAAUAUUUUUCAUGCAAACGAAAAAGAAAAAAUAAACAUGGAUAUUUGAAAAAUAAAACAUGAACAUUUAGUGUGAAUACACUAAAAAUAAAUCACAUGUAAUAUUCUAAUUGCUUUUUGUAAGUACCAUUUCCCUGAAGAUGGUGAUUCACUGACAGAACUGGUGGACAGAAAUAGCUUCUAAAACCAUCUCUGUUUCAGUGUGUUGGAAUGUUGGACACAGACUAACAUCUGGUUGAAAUGUAAAGUUGUGUAUUAUGUUAAAAGCAAUUUUAUAAGUGUCAGAAAACCUCAUGAAGAGCAAUUCAUUUGAAAAUUAGUGUUUUUAAUGAAGGAACGAUUCAGCAUGAAUCUUCAAUAGGGCAUAACUUCUAUAAACAACAGAGGCAGUCUAAUGAAAACUAGGACCAUUACAGGGAUUCUAUUUUCUUCCACUGUGUCCUGCCUGGGAGUACAGAGCAUAUUUAUUGACAUGACAUUGGAUCAAGAGAAACCAUGAUGAACUGGAAUGUAUCCAACUCUCAUACUGUCAUUAUGCUUUUAAACCCAAAACUUAUCAACUCAAAACUUCUUCUUCAGAAGUAUUGCAUAGAUCAAAGAUGAUUUACUAACUGUAUUCACAUACCGUAUACGAAGUACUGUAAUAGGGAACAUACUUAAUCUGGGUUGUUUAAAAGAUUGGAAUUCAGAGUGGGAAAGCAGAUUUUGUUCAACACAAGGAAGACAUUUUUCAACAUCAGAACCCUUUAUAGAGGAAUUAACCACUUAGCAUAUCACCAAUGAAAGUAUUUCUGCAGUGGCUAAAUGGCCUUCAAUACAGGAUGGUAAAGAAUUUGUGUAUGGCAAAGAUUUUGGUUCAUUGUUUCUGCCAGCGUUAGCAUGUUAUGACAAGUCAGUUCUGUCUAAUCGUAUAUUCCACUAAACAACCAAUUUGCAGUUUUUAAGUUCUGAAUUUCUGGUAUUAUUAGUUACAUUGGUUAAGAUUUUACCAUAUAUAGACAUAAGCUAAGAAUCGUGAUAAUCGAUUCCUCCCUGCAAUAAUUAGAGAUAAAAAUCUGAAACAUUAAGAAAGCUAGCUAGCUAGAUAGUUGAUAGAUAGAUAGAUAGAUAGAUAGAUAGAUAGAUAGGUAUAGGCUCUCUCUCUCUCUUUCUAUAUAUAUAUAUAUAUAUGUAUGUAUACACACACACACAUAUAUCUGAGUAAAAGCUUUAUGUACAAAAAGAUGCUUCUAUUAAGUUGGGAAAAUAUGUGAGCCAAUAGAUUUCUCUUUCCAGGAAAUGGGAAAAACUAUCCAGCAACCUAUUUCUCCUUGUUAUAUAACAAGAACAUGACAAAAAAUCAUCGUCCAAAUCUUACAAUGAAAUGAAAACUGCUUAGAAAGCAAACUUUAGACCUUAUGGACUG